UAAUGGAAAUUUCAGGGUAUGUGUGGUUUAACCUGCUUUAACUGGGAUGCUGGACCAAAUGAUUUUCCAAGGUCAUUGUCAACCUGAAUUACAGUAUGAUCCUGUCAUUCAAAAUUGGUAAGUGCCUUUUAAAAAUAAAGUUGUCUUUUAUCACUGUUCUGUUUAAAGCAGAAGCAAACUCUCACUGUAAGUCUCAAUGAGACAUUCCAGACACCAAAUAUUAAGCCACCAAAUGAAACCCUGAAUAAAAUGGUUUUGACAGUGCCUAUAGCAAUAAUUAAUGAAAUCUGCUAAUAUAGACUUUGGUGCAAAAUGAGAAACUCACCCAGCCACCAUUCGCAUCAAUCCAUUCAGCUUUGUUGUUUAUGAUGUACUCUGUGAUGAAAUAAGAGAUCUGCUCCUUCUCCUCUGCAGUCAGCUGAACCCCAUGCUCUUGAAGCUUCUUGGUGAGAAGACCUCCAAAUCUACAGAGGUGAUGUCAAUCCUGUCCAGGAGUGGCCUGAGAGCCUCCUCGGUUUGGUCUUGCAGAGAGGAUGCCAUGGUUCUCAAGACAUGAGCAACCCUGGUCUGGGCUGGCCCGAGGUGUGAUUCCUGGAGCACAUACUGCAGAUAAUCCUGGGCUAAGUAAUAAACGUAAUAGAACUCA